UGGUUUCUCUUCAGAUCGUAUAAAUCUUUCACCUUUGACUAAAGAUUUCUGUGCAGAGGAACAAUUUA
rnacentral:snRNA from 1 species